GGGGGAUUCUAGGCAGACUCUACAGCUGAGUCACACCCCCCACGCUCCACCCUACCCCCACCCUGCGCCCAGCCCAGAAGCAUUUUUUUACCUUCCAGGCACCUUACAGAUCUCAACAUGGCCAGUCUUCUUUUAAGUCUUAGGAUUCCAUCAUCAAGGCGGCAUUACCCCACUUACUAAAGCUCACACAGGUUUAUGAGAUCACCUGGACAUAGUCACACUGUUGUUGUGGAAACCAAGCUUUUGGUCAGGUCUCUUCAGAGCCAGUCCUCCGUUCUUAAAUCAUGACCCUCAGGUGUCCCAUGGGAUUUCAGUUACAAUCAGGACAUGUUGUAUUGUUCCGUUGCCACUGAAAGCAGCCAGCAUCUUUCAUCAGGUCCUCAGCCUGGAUUCUGGGGGCUUUAUUAGCCCAAGAAAAUGGCCCAACUCCAGCUGACAUCAAUGGGGUCCCAUCGAGGAGUAAGAGCCGAGUAUUUCCUGUGGAGGCCCAGCCUCAGACAAACCAGUUUGAAGAGAAGCCAGUUGGCUUGACUGGAGCUACCAGCAAGCUAUUUUUGACAUAAAAAGAAGCUGAUAACUGAUUAAAGAAAAUUUUAAACACAG